GACGAACGCUGGCGGCGCGCUUAACACAUGCCAGUCGAACGGAAAGGCCUGCUUUCCCUUGUGGAUUGCGGGUACUCGAGUGGCGAACGGGUGAGUAACACGUGAGUGAUCUGCCCCCAACUUGGGUAUAAGCCUGGGAAACUGGGUCUAAUUCCCGAUAGGACUGCAGGGUGGUGCCUGUGGUGGAAAACGAUUUUCUAGUGGUUGGGGAUGAGCUCGCGGCCUAUCAGCUUGUUGGUGGGGUAAUGGCCUACCAAGGCGGCGACGGGUAGCCGGCCUGGGAGGGUGGACGGCCAAAUUGGGACUGAGAUACGGCCCAGACUCCUACGGGAGGCAGCAGUGGGGAAUAGUGCACAAUGGGCGGAAGCCGGAUGCAGCGACGCCGAGUGGGGGAUGACGGCCUUCGGGUUGGAAACUCCUUUCGACCGCGAGGAAGCCACCUGGUUGGAAGGGUGGUGACGGUAGUGGUAGAAGAAGCACCGGCUAACUACGU
rnacentral:rRNA from 1 species